rnacentral:rRNA from 1 species
AUGGCUUAUUAUUUAGAUCAUCAAGCUUAUGCGAGCAACACUACAAAUAACACAGAAAGUAUUCAAGACCUGAUAAUUAAGAUUUCCCAUCAAUUAGAUGAUUUAGCUCGGCAGCGAGAAGUAGCUUUUGAGGAUAGGCCUAGCUCUUAUGAUCCUUAUUCUAGAGGCCAUCCUUAUGUUGCUCCUACCUGCCAUAUUUGUGGAUUUCAGGGCCAUUUGCCCGCUGAAUGUCAGCGUGGUUACUCCCAUUCUCUGGAUUGUUUUGGCAUGAGCUUCGCUCAACAACAUAGCUCAUACCAAAACAAUUACUCAUAUGGGUGGCCUGAAGACCCGAAUAUGUCAUAUAGGAGCAACAACCCUGAGAUCUCACCAUUUGCUUCUAGUAAUCAUAUGCAAGGAUUUAUGUAUGAAGAGGAGAGCAACAACUAUGCACCACAACAAUUUUAUUCACAUUCUACUCAUGUACCUCAGCACCAGGAGAUGUGA